GCCCCCGUAGCUCAAUGGGAUAGAGCGUCGGACUUCGAAUCCGCAGGUUGCGCGUUCGAAUCGCGCCGGGGGCGCCA
rnacentral:tRNA from 1 species